rnacentral:rRNA from 1 species
CAGUAGCCACGGUAAUACGUAGGGUGCGAGCGUUAAUCGGAAUUACUGGGCGUAAAGGGCUCGCAGGCGGUUUCUUAAGUCUGAUGUGAAAGCCCCCGGCUCAACCGGGGAGGGUCAUUGGAAACUGGGAAACUUGAGUGCAGAAGAGGAGAGUGGAAUUCCACGUGUAGCGGCGAAAUGCGUAGAGAUGUGGAGGAACACCAGUGGCGAAGGCGGCUUACUGGCUCGAAACUGACGCUGAGGCGCGAAAGCGUGGGGAGCAAACAGGAUUAGAUACCCCUGUAGUCCCUGUCUCUUAUAC